rnacentral:rRNA from 1 species
CCUACGGGAGGCAGCAGUGGGGAAUAUUGGGCAAUGGGCGCAAGCCUGACCCAGCAACGCCGCGUGAAGGAAGAAGGCUUUCGGGUUGUAAACUUCUUUUCUCAGGGACGAAGCAAGUGACGGUACCUGAGGAAUAAGCCACGGCUAACUACGUGCCAGCAGCCGCUGUAAUCCGUAGGUGGCAAGCGUUAUCCGGAUUUACUGGGUGUAAAGGGCGUGUAGGCGGGAAAGCAAGUCAGAUGUGAAAACCAUGGGCUCAACCUGUGGCCUGCAUUUGAAACUGUUUUUCUUGAGUACUGGAGAGGCAGAAGGAAUUCCUAGUGUAGCGGUGAAAUGCGUAGAUAGUAGGAGGAACACCAGUGGCGAAGGCGGUCUGCUGGACAGCAACUGACGCUGAGGCGCGAAAGCGUGGGGAGCAAACAGGAUUAGAUACCCCAGUAGUC